UACGGAGGGUGCAAACGUUGUUCGGAAUCACUGGGCAUAAAGCGCACGUAGGCUGUCUCGUAAGUGUGGAGUGAAAUCCCACGGCUCAACCGUGGAACUGCUUGGCAUACUGCGAGACUCGAGGACGGUAGGGGAGAGCGGAACUCCUGGUGGAGCGGUGAAAUGCGUAGAUAUCAGGAGGAACACCGGUGGCGAAGGCGGGCCUCUGGGCCGAUACUGACGCUGAGGAGCGAAAGCGUGGGGAGCGAACAGG
rnacentral:rRNA from 1 species